rnacentral:lncRNA from 1 species
GGACCCCAUCCGCGUCAACCCGCCCCCCAUCACCCCGCUGGAGACCAUCAAGGCCUUCAAGGACAAGCAGAUCCACCCGGGUUUCGGGGGGCUGCCGCAGCCGCCGCUCACGCUCAAGCCCAUCCGACCCCGCAAGUAUCCCAACCGGCCCAGCAAGACGCCGCUGCACGAGCGGCCCCACGCCUGCCCGGCCGAGGGCUGCGACCGCCGCUUCUCCCGCUCCGACGAGCUCACCCGUCACCUCCGCAUCCACACGGGCCACAAGCCCUUCCAGUGCCGCAUCUGCAUGCGGAGCUUCAGCCGCAGCGACCACCUCACCACCCACAUCCGCACCCACACCGGCGAGAAGCCCUUCGCCUGCGAGUUCUGCGGCCGCAAGUUCGCCCGCUCCGACGAGCGCAAGCGGCACGCCAAGAUCCACCUCAAGCAGAAGGAGAAGAAGGCCGAGAAGGGCUCGGGGGUGCAGCCCCCCGCCGCGCCCCCCGCCGCCACCGCCACCACCUCGCCGCCCGUCGCCCUCGCCCCCGCCGUCACCACGUGCGCUUGAGGGAUUGUGGGGGGCGGCGCGGUGGCACCCCUUCUCCUCCCCUUGCCCUCGGCACCGCUCCGGGGGGAACCCCACGGUGUUCAGGAUACCGGGCUUGCGCUGCGACGGGUCCGCUCUGCCCGCACCCGGAUUGACCGGGUCCAGGCUGCCCGCACCUGGAUCCUGCCUGCACUUGGAUCGAUGGGACCCGCACCGCCCGCACCCGGAUUGCCCGGACUCUGCGCUGCCCGCGCUGGGAUUGCUCGCAGCACCUGGAUCCCGGCUGCCUGCUCCUGCACCUUCCACAUCCCGGCUGCUUCCACCUGCCCUGCCCGGGCCCGGGCCGCCCGCCCUGCCCGGAUCCCGGCCGCCUGCUCCCGCACCUCCCGAUCCCGCCCGGGGCCGGGCCGUCCGCACCCUCCUUGCCCGGCUCUCCCGGCUCCUGGAUUACUCGCACCGCCCGGAUCCCGGCUGGAUUGCCCCAUCCCGGCCCUCACCCGGCGCCUCCCGGCUCGGGGCUGCCCGGGCGGCCGAUCCCGGGGAUGCUCCCGGCUGACCCGGAUCCCGGGGCUCGGUCCGGGUGGCUGCUCCAGGAUCUGCCCCCAUCCCGGUCCCGUCCUGCCCGGCUCCCCCGGGGCUGCGCGCUCCAGGAUCCGUGAGGGGAUGGAUGGAUGGAUGGAUGGAUGGAUGGAUGGAUGGAUGGAUGGAUGGAUGGAUGGAUGGAUGGAGCUCAUCUGGCUCCUCUCCUCGCUGGGCCUGGCGCUCCCGCUGCCCUCCCCAGCCCCGUGUCCCCCCCGUGUCCCCAAGCACCGGCUCCCCGUGCUGGAGGUAAGAGGGCUCAGCCCCCCGAGCCAGGCUGGGGGGGCGGGGGGCGGCUCUGCGGGUCCCCCCAACUCUGGGGAGCGAUGUCCCGGCAGCAGCUUUUGGGUUUGUUUUCUUAUUUUUGGUUUAUUUUCCUUUUUAUUAUUAUUUUUUUUUUUCUUUCUCCUUCUGGUAUGUGCAUGUCAUUGCAUGACUGCUCUGAUUUUUUUCUUCUUUUGUUUUAAUAAAACUGUGCUCAGACAUUUAAGCUAA